rnacentral:rRNA from 1 species
GACGAACGCUGGCGGCGUGCUUAACACAUGCAAGUCGAACGGUGAAGCUCCAGCUUGCUGGAGUGGAUCAGUGGCGAACGGGUGAGUAACACGUGAGCAACCUGCCCCUGACUCUGGAAUAAGCGCUGGAAACGGCGUCUAAUACUGGAUACGAGAAGGGUCCGCAUGGGCACUUUCUGGAAAGUUCUUCGGUUGGGGAUGGGCUCGCGGCCUACGAGCUUGUUGGUGAGGUAAUGGCUCACCAAGGCGACGACGGGUAGCCGGCCUGAGAGGGCGACCGGCCACACUGGGACUGAGACACGGCGCAGACUCCUACGGGAGGCAGCAGUGGGGAAUAUUGCACAAUGGGCGAGAGCCUGAUGCAGCGACGCCGCGUGAGGGAUGACGGCCUUCGGGUUGUAAACCUCUUUCAGCAGGGAAGAAGCGAAAGUGACGGUACCUGCAGAAGAAGCACCGGCUAACUACGUG